GGUUCCUAGACAUUCUCCUGUUCGGAGCCUGGGAUGAGAGUGAACUCACUUCACUCCAGUCUGCAACUCCGAGUUGCACUGCAAGGAGGACGACAUAUCGGGGUUCUCUCCAUGCAUCGAACAGGUGGCUGUCUGCAUGCUGUUUAGAGCAGAAGCACUCUGCAUGAGUAACUGUUCCUACACAGUCUCCUGGGUGGAAC
rnacentral:lncRNA from 1 species